rnacentral:lncRNA from 1 species
GUUGAAUUGGAACAUCGUUUCUUUCCCUGUUGCAGAAGAACUUUCACAUCAUGAGAAUCUGGUUUCAUUUUUAGAAACUGUGAACCAGCCACACCACCAGAAUGUGUCUGUCCCCAGCAAUAAUGUUCACGCGCCUUAUUCCAGUGACAAAGAACACAUGUGUACUGUGGUUUAUUUUGAUGACUGCAUGUCCAUACAUCAGUGUAAAAUAUCCUGUGAGUCCAUGGGAGCAUCCAAAUAUCGCUGGUUUCAUAAUGCCUGCUGCGAGUGCAUUGGUCCAGAAUGUAUUGACUAUGGUAGUAAAACUGUCAAAUGUAUGAACUGCAUGUUUUAAAGAAGACAAAUGCAAACCAAAGCAACUUAGUAAAAUAAUAGGUAUAAAAAGUUAUUCUGUAAGUCUGUUGGUUGUAUCUUGUAUCAGAAUCCCAGUAAGUUAAGUUGUAAAGACUUUGGAAUAAGUUUCUUUUAAAAAUAUGACAUAGCCAGUGAUGUGUUUAAUUAUAUAACUGUUCUUACUGAUUUUAUUGCCCCCUAGCAAUAAGCCCUUUCCUUUGAAUACAUGUACAACUUUGGUC